CAGGUCCUAGACCUGGAAACCGGGUAAUCCCAUGCUUCCAAGAAAAGCUGCGCACUGAGCCCCUCUAGCGUUCGUACUGCAAACCGACUCAGGUGGGCGGGAAGAAUAUUCCAAGGCGCGUGAGAGAGCCCUGGUUAAGGAACUCGGCAAAUUUGCACCGUAACUUCGGGAGAAGGUGUGCCACUGAUGGUGAUAAGGCUUGCCCUUUGAGCUUUUGGUGGUCGCAGUGAAAUGGCGGUUGUGACUGUUUACUAAAAACACAGGACUCUGCGAAGUCGUAAGACGACGUAUAGGGUCUGAUGCCUGCCCGGUGCUGGAAGGUUAAGGGAAUAUGUUAGGGGCAACCCGAAGCAUUGAACCGAAGCCCCAGUAAACGGCGGCCGUAACUAUAACGGUCCUAAGGUAGCGAAAUUCCUUGUCGGGUAAGUUCCGACCUGCACGAAUGGCAUAACAACAUCCGCACUGUCUCGACCAGGGACUCAGCGAAAUUGCAUCGGGGGUGAAGAUGCCCUCUACCCGCGGCAAGACGGAAAGACCCCAUAACCUUUACUGUAACUUGGCAGUGAUACUCGGGCCAUUCUGCGUAGGAUAGGUGGGAGGCUUUGAAGCCGGUCUUCUGGGAUCGGUGGAGCCAUCGUUGAAAUACCACCCUGGAUGAUUUGGGUAUCUAACCUACUCCCAUGAUCUGGGAGAGGGACACUGUCUGGUGGGCAGUUUGACUGGGGCGGUCGCCUCCUAAAACGUAACGGAGGCGUGCGAAGGUUCCCUCAGGCUGAUUGGAAACCAGCCGUAGAGUGCAAACGCAUAAGGGAGCUUUACUGUGAGACCGACAGGUCGAUCAGUUGCGAAAGCAGGCGUUAGUGACCCGGUGGUCCCGCAUGGAUGGGCCAUCGAUCAACGGAUAAAAGGUACUCUGGGGAUAACAGGCUGAUCGCGCCUGAGAGUCCAUAUCGGCGGCGCGGUUUGGCACCUCGAUGUCGGCUCAUCGCAUCCUGGGGCUGGAGCAGGUCCCAAGGGUUUGGCUGUUCGCCAAUUAAAGCGGUACGCGAGCUGGGUUUAAAACGUCGUGAGACAGUUUGGUCCCUAUCUGCCGUGGGCGCAGGAUACUUGAGAGGGUCUGCCUAUAGUACGAGAGGACCUGGGUGGACGGACCGCUGGUGUUCCGGUUGUCACGCCUGUGGCAUAGCCGGGUAGCCAUGUCCGGAAGAGAUAACCGCUGAAAGCAUAUAAGCGGGAAGCUUGCCUCGAGAUUAGGUAUCCCUGCCGUAAGGCACUAAAGGCCCCUUGUAGACUACGAGGUUGAUAGGCUGGGUGUGGAAGCGUAGCGAUACGCGGAGCUAACCAGUACUAAUAGGCCGUGCGGCUUGACC
rnacentral:rRNA from 1 species